UUCUCAUCCAAGUACUCAAUUCUAUGCUAUUACAAUUCAUAUCAUCUAGCAAAUAUUAAGUAGCUGGGAAGAAUAAAUCAGACAGUUUAACUAUUCUUAUUCUUUCUGCGACCUAGUCUGCGUUGGAUUGCAAUCGUAACUACUCGGCCAUUCUCGCUACGCAGUACAAUAGCUAUUUCUUCGUGCAACCAGAAAGGCCGAGUUGUUCCGAUUGCGUUGGAUUGAUCAACGGAAAUGAAACAGUGAUAAUAAUCGAAAGUCGUACUCGAAAAGGCUGUGAAAUAUUUCCGUUUCAAGCCGUUACUAAAUAAAACUUUUUUUUUAUAUUAAGUUAAAAUAAAACAUUAUAAAAAGUUGUCACUUAUUUAAAGAAAUAAACAAAAUUUAAUCGAUAUCCCGUUUCAUCUGUUCAUAAUGCAUGGCUGUGAUUUCGUAAUGCACGGGUAUGAUUUCGUAAUGCAUGACUGAGAUUUCGUAAUGACUGGCUGUAGCAAUUUCUCCGUUCAUAAUGACCAGUUGUCGAAAUUUUCCUUUUAUAAAGCAUGGGCAUUUCUAUACAUAUUGUAGUAAGUUGGUUAAUAAAAGCAUAUACAUAC
rnacentral:lncRNA from 1 species